UGGUCAUUUUUAAAAAAAAUGUUUUUUUCAUGUAAAGUUUAAAAAAAUGUUUAAACAGUUUAAAAUUUUUGUAUAGCCGCAAAACUCCUGUGUUGUUAUAUGGGGCUGCAGCUUGAGCUAAUGUGUCAUAAUGGACACAAACGUUGGUAUCGACACCUAACAUCAGUCAUAGAAAUCUUAUAACUCACGACAAGAAGUCCGAAGUUGGUCAUGUGAUCGCACAAACACUCGGGGUCGCCGGGGGUUCCCGUUGCUUGGCAACCAUCGAACAUCCAAUCCUGCGCUUCCACGUUCCAAUAACCACAACGAUAUAUACGUUUCGUCUGCGAGUGAGUUUGUAUUGAGAGGGGGGAUAGCAAUUAUAGGGGGAGUGGAAGAUUGUAUUGGAACGGCUGUUGAAGUCGCUUCACCGAUGUCAGGUUGAUUUGUGCGGAUAAUACCUGAGGUUUGUACGGCACGUUACUCGAGGGGGGGAAAAGAGAAUUAUCGCGGUGAAGGAAAAAGGCAACAUUGAACACCGGGUGGGGGUCAUGUGACUUGUUGGCAACCAUCGCCAUGGUAGCGCUCGGUACAAGCGCUCUGAUUGGUUUGUUUGAAUUUGAAUCCACGAAUACAACGUCGGCGUAUUGACCAUGGUUGGUUGGUACGCUGCGUUGGACCUGGGGUGGAAGGUUGUGUUAUUGUAAUAUGCAAUAUAACGAAAAGGUUUACAGAUUACAGUUGGUGAUAUGCUAACAGCCACGGGUAUGCAUUGCAGCGAGAGGUUACCGGGUUCAAAGCUCAAAGCUGCCACCGUUGCAGGCGUAUGUGUCCUUGGGCAGGAUACUUAACGGCAAUUGUUCCAACCCAGUGGUCUCUAAUGGGUUGUCCAAAUUGUCAGCCAUACAGAUAAAAACAAUCACCUACAAAGUUACAUACGUGGCAACUUGUAAGCGGGCACGAGGUGUAUGAAACAGAACACCCAUAUUAUAACGACUGUCGUUUUCCCGUCACACAAGUUAGUCCCACCCACAUACUUACCAUGGCUUUAAUACUUGGCGUGCUGUAUUCAAACUUGCCGCUACUCCCAAGAUCCAGAUGAGCGGCGAACACACUUAGUGAUUGUAGUAAUACAUCCUGUUGAGGUGGGGGGGACGAUGCUGCCGGUGGUUCACUGGUGGGGAGGUUGCUUAUCGAUACCAUCAAGCAUAUCAUUGUGGAGGGUUUAAUCUGUGGUAACAUUUAACAGGUUUAAUCUGUAGCAUUUUCUUCGUUGUUUUAAUUAAAAACUAAUUCGUUCGAAGAAACAAAUCAAAUAAUAUUUCAUUCAAA